UAAUGAAACUACCUCGUAGGGCCGGGCGAUAUAUCGAUAUAAUAUCAACAUCGUGAUAAAUGGUUAUACGAUACACUUUUCUGAGAUAUCGUUGGUAUGGUGAUCUAUUUUUUAUUCAUCACUAAUAUUAAACGCUACUGAACGGAUGCCGUUGAUUUGUUGACAUUUAAAAAAAAAAAAAAAACAACUAAAACUUAAAGAUCUUCUUUGUCUUGGUCGGCAUUUAAUGAAAAGCAUCGGUUGAAUGUUCUUUAUUUAUUUUACUGCUGAUUUGCAGACAGUUUGUUAGCUAAAUUUAUUAUAUCGCGAUACUCAUCGUGUAUCCUAGAAAUGUCCUGCAGUGACGCGAUAUGAUAUUUUUUGUCAAAUCGCCCAGCCCUGAUACCAUCUAAUGAAAGUAAAAUCUGAAAAUGUUUUCCCAGUGCACGAUUAUGCAUAGUUUCAACUUGUUGUAGCUUUUACAUCUGCUGCGCACUGACCUCAUGCAUUCAGCUCAAUGCCGACAGUGAUGAUGAUGAUGAUGACGACGAUGAUGAUGAUGAUGUUCACUGUCGUUUUGGUUCCAGGGCCCAGGUUCACUCGGAAAGAAAGGAGAGCAGGGACAGAAAGGAGCUCCAGGUCUUGACGGUCCCGCGGGUGAAAAGGGAGAGCCGGGACAGAAAGGAGAAAGGGGUCUUCCUGGAAUAGGACUACCUGGUCAGCCUGGAGCUAAGGGGGAGCAGGGUGAUCGGGUCAGUACGACUGUAACGGAGAAACAGCGUGUUUGCUUUCGCUAUUCUCAGGUCUCCUCAGUAACUGCAG
ensembl:lncRNA